rnacentral:lncRNA from 1 species
UUGUUCUAUUCAUCAUGACCUCAUAGAGCCUUUUCUUUUUCUCAGGUCUCAUUUACUUCCUCUUUUUUUUUUCCUUUUCCUUUUCCUAUACCUUCCUUUGGUCCUUAUAAGUAUCCAAAUUGCCCUAAAAUAACUUCUGCACAUGCAGCAUUAGGAAGCAGUGUUUCCCAACCACUACAUUUGAAUGAUUCAUUCCUCUGAGGACCCUCAAGUACUUCAGAAGAACUAAAAAAUGAAUAUCACGUUACACCAAAGAAGAAAUGAAAGCUGCCAGUGUCUUCUGAAGUUAAACAGGCUCCUGUUCUUUGACCCAGCAAUCCAAUCCUAGGUAUUUAAUUGUUCCCUGAGGUUUAAGGCAGUGGACUGAGGAUAAUACAGGCUCCAGCUUUCAUUAGUUCAAUGGAUGAUGCUGUUCAAUCCAUACUGUUUGGGGCAUUUGUUGAAAAUGUCAUUCAGAAGAUAUCAACACUUUCUGAGUCAUGGUUUGAUUGAAUUUAUAGAAUUAUGUGAUAGAAACCACAUUCUUCACAAAAGUCACAAGGCAAUAAUGACGACAAGGGUUGAAGAUGAAAGAUGCCAAAUAUUCUGAUCAAUUCAAUAAGGCAAAAAGACAAGUUAAUUCACUCAGUGCUCCAGGCAUCAACUUCAUAGAAGGAAUGGAAAUUCUACCUGUUUCCUAAAGAACUACAGAGGUGUACACCAAACGGAGGGCAAAUGCUGUUACCACUCAUCGUGCAAGACUUUUGAGGCAAUUUGGACAUAGACAAGUGAUGGGAAAAUUGAAUCAUUAUAUGGCUCAUGACAGUGUUGAAAACUCAAACAUCCAAGGACCUGUACCUUUGCUAAGUGCCAUGCAUAUGUUGCUGAUAAAGAUGCAAUAAAUACUCUUUUGUUAAA